UACGGAGGGGGCUAGCGUUGUUCGGAAUUACUGGGCGUAAAGCGCGCGUAGGCGGACCUGCAAGUCGGGGGUGAAAGCCCGAGGUUCAACCUCGGAACUGCCUUCGAUACUGCGGGUCUCGAGUCCGGGAGAGGUGAGUGGAAUUCCUAGUGUAGAGGUGAAAUUCGUAGAUAUUAGGAAGAACACCAGUGGCGAAGGCGGCUCACUGGCCCGGUACUGACGCUGAGGCGCGAAAGCGUGGGGAGCAAACAGG
rnacentral:rRNA from 1 species